GGCUGGGUAGCUCAGGUGGUAGAGCAGAGGACUGAAAAUCCUCGUGUCCGCGGUUCAAGUCCGUGCCCAGCCACCA
rnacentral:tRNA from 1 species